ACUUCCAGGCCAUACUGGAGCGCCACACAAAAAAGAGAACCAAAGGUGUGUUUGUGCCAGCAGGCGGAAAACACCUGCUGUGCCUCCUGGAUGACCUUCACAUGCCAGCACCUGACAACUUUGGCUCUCGGCCACCGUUGGACCACAGCUUCUGGUGUAACCACCAUAAACAGACCCUUACGUUUGAGUUGGGCAGAUGUCAAAGAUGGCAGCUUUUAUCUGAGUACCAGGUAAUCCAGUUGGAAGUCAUUAAGGAGCUUGGCAAGAAAGAGUUCAAACAAGGCAUGGAGUCCUCUGUCAGAGUCCACCAGGAAAGGCAAUGUGCUGGAGACUCCUGACUGUGUGUUCAGCUACCUGAUCCAGUCAGAACCAACGUGCACAUUACAUUUCUCUGUAUGAGCCCAGUGGGAGAGCCAAUGAGGUUGUGGAGGAAUACACAAUCCUCUGAUCUUCAUACUAUUUCCUGAGGUGGACCCCACAGGAGCCCUGCUGCAGCCAGCUGAGGCCUCUGGCAAAAUCAACCACUUCCAUGGUCUCUCUCUCUCUGGGCCAUGAUACAGGAGGACAUCAAGAAUGUGCGCAACAGCCAGACUAUCCUGGGUAGGAUGCGACCAAGUGGUACUACCACAGAAGUAUCAAAUCAUCCAUCGUUUCCAGAACAGUGAGU